rnacentral:rRNA from 1 species
UACGUAGGGUGCGAGCGUUAAUCGGAAUUACUGGGCGUAAAGUGUGCGCAGGCGGCCGAGCAAGUCGAGUGUGAAAGCCCCGAGCUUAACUUGGGAACUGCGCUCGAAACUACUUGGCUAGAGUGUGGCAGAGGGAGGUGGAAUUCCACGUGUAGCGGUGAAAUGCGUAGAGAUGUGGAGGAACACCGAUGGCGAAGGCAGCCUCCUGGGCCAACACUGACGCCUCAUGCACGAAAGCGUGGGGAGCAAACAGG